rnacentral:rRNA from 1 species
UACGGAGGGGGCUAGCGUUGUUCGGAAUUACUGGGCGUAAAGCGCACGUAGGCGGCUUUGUAAGUUAGAGGUGAAAGCCCGGGGCUCAACUCCGGAAUUGCCUUUAAGACUGCAUCGCUAGAAUUGUGGAGAGGUAAGUGGAAUUCCGAGUGUAGAGGUGAAAUUCGUAGAUAUUCGGAAGAACACCAGUGGCGAAGGCGGCAUCCUGGACCAACACUGACGCUGAGGAGCGAAAGCCAGGGGAGCAAACGGG